UUUUUCAUUAUUGAGUUCAUUUUACUGACUCUUAAAUUUUUAUUUAUUUUCAGUUGGCUCUUAUCCAAACUAAACAUGUCAUAUCACGUUUACAAAAGCUUUUUCCAAAUAAGAAAUUCGAAAUACAAUGAAUAUCGUUGGCUAGUAUGGGGUGACCUACGAAAGAGUUGGACAGCCGCUGGAUGUGCUACAUAUUUUUUUUUCUUUUUUCCAUUUAUUUAUUUUUUGAAUAACCACACAACAAGAUCAAAUCCUCUAGUUAUAGUGCAGGUUUAUAAGAACCUUUUAUAUAUCCUUCUUAAGAAAUAAUAAAACAAUUUUUAAAGAAAUAAA
rnacentral:sRNA from 1 species